rnacentral:rRNA from 1 species
UACGUAGAGCGCAAGCGUUAUCCGGAAUUAUUGGGCGUAAAGAGCUCGUAGGCGGUCUGUCGCGUCUGCUGUGAAAACCUGGGGGCUUAACUCUGGGCGUGCGGUCGAUACGGGCAUCACUAGAGUUCGGCAGGGGAGACUGGAAUUCCUGGUGUAGCGGUGAAAUGCGCAGAUAUCAGGAGGAACACCGGUGGCGAAGGCGGUUCUCUGGGCCUGUACUGACGCUGAGGAGCGAAAGCGUGGGGAGCGAACAGG